CCUACGGGAGGCAGCAGUGGGGAAUUUUGGACAAUGGGCGCAAGCCUGAUCCAGCAAUGCCGCGUGAGUGAAGAAGGCCUUCGGGUUGUAAAGCUCUUUUGUCAGGGAAGAAACGGUGGAGGCUAAUAUCCUUUGCUAAUGACGGUACCUGAAGAAUAAGCACCGGCUAACUACGUGCCAGCAGCCGCGGUAAUACGUAGGGUGCAAGCGUUAAUCGGAAUUACUGGGCGUAAAGCGUGCGCAGGCGGUUUUGUAAGUUUGUCGUGAAAUCCCCGGGCUCAACCUGGGAAUGGCGAUGAAGACUGCAAGGCUAGAAUCUGGCAGAGGGGGGUAGAAUUCCACGUGUAGCAGUGAAAUGCGUAGAGAUGUGGAGGAACACCGAUGGCGAAGGCAGCCCCCUGGGUCAAGAUUGACGCUCAUGCACGAAAGCGUGGGGAGCAAACAGGAUUAGAUACCCUGGUAGUCCACGCCCUAAACGAUGUCUACUAGUUGUCGGGUUUUAAUAACUUGGUAACGCAGCUAACGCGUGAAGUAGACCGCCUGGGGGAGGUACGGUCGGUCGAGAAGUUAAACGUUAACGUAAAGAAGUUAGUAGGCGNGAGAGNGCGACGGACGACGACGAGGAGGAGG
rnacentral:rRNA from 1 species